UGUCCUGGGUUCCCAUCACGGUGUGGACCUUUACCUAUGGAUAUCUAUGGAUACCAUACCUUUACCUAUGGAUACCUGUCCCCAGGUGCGCCUGCACCGGAUAUUGUGUGGGAACUGUGUGCUUGCGUCUCAGGUGUGUUACCUGUCUGCCCACCUGUGUUUCUGCGGCUACCGACGUCGGCGUGUCCCUGUGACUCGGUGUGUACCUACGACCUUGUGAACCCGUGAGGGGCGAGAUGGGGGACUGGUCUCAGGGGGCUGGCACCACCUUCCUCCCUGGAAAGUGAUGCCAGCUCCCUCGGCCGCGACUCCACGCUCUCCCCGCGGACACAAGGGGGAGCUACGGCCUCGCUGUCAGCCUGGCCGGGGGCUCCCGGUCCCGCCCCGCCGUCCAGCCGACGGCCGCGAGCACCAGCGUGGGAAGGGGCUCCCGUCCCGCCCUCAGGCCCGCCCUCGAGUCUCCGCCCAAGCGCUGGGGGGUGGUCGGCGAGGAGGGGACUUAAAAUAGCCGCGGGCGGGGGCGAGGCUGCUAUUCACGGCCGGGACACGCGGUGCUCACCGCCUGCCCGGCGGGACGGGGCUUAGGCCGGAGGUCCCCGUCUGCACACUCACAAGACGCCCCUCCCCGGGCGCCCGCCGAAGACCACCCCCGGGGCUGCGCCGGCGUUGCCACGGAGACGGGGGCGGGGCCUUCUUGCUCCCGCACCGCCCCCUCUGUCCUCCCCGCCGGGUCGGGCCCGCCGGACGCCGGGUCCUCCCCCGACCCCGGCUAAUGACCGGGCGAGAGGCGGUAAUGAGCGUCUGGGCUCGGGUCGGGCGUGGACGGGAUGAAAGGCGCGUGGUGGGGGGGAACCCUGGGGCCGCGUAAUUACCGGCCCCUCCCGGCCGGCCAGGCGGGGGCAGGGACGGUGCACCUGGAGGCCGCCCGGCGCGGGCGCGGAAGGGGACCGCCCUGGCAGAGACUCCAGCCUGCCCGCCUGGCCCAGAUCCCCGGGGCUCAGAGCCAGGGAGGGGGAAGCGGGGACUGGAUGUGUGUGUACGUUGCCAGGUGUGGUGCACAUGUGUGCCGUGGGCAGGGGACUCGUGGGUACAGAGAUGGAGAAACAAGGUUUCUGGGGACCAUGCCUGUGUGAACAUGAAAAUGGGGCCGUGUGCCUGUGCACAUGGCUGUGGAAGUGUGUGCAUAGAACUCACAUGUGUGUGUGUGCGUGUGCACACAUGGAAACAUGUUUGCAUGGUCAUGCCUUAUGUGCAAGAACACAAGGGGUUGUGCGUGGACCCCAAAGCAUGUGCAUAACCAGGAUGUGGGAUCAGCCGGGGACAGCGCUGCUGCGUGUGCAUGACGCGGGGGAACCGGGACUCACAGAUCAUAUGUGCCCAUGGCUGGUGGCGUGACUCAUGCCCCUGGGGUGGGAACAUGCCACGCACUGUCAGCAGCCGCCGGGGUCUCUAGGGCAGAGGAGAGCUACAGGAGCCCAAAAGCCAGGAGGAAGAGUUUAACUUUAACUGACUCCCCCGUCCCCACCCACCCCGUUUCCCACCUGCAUGAGUAGGUGGGGACAUCUGAGAUCCCUAGGUGGCUGCCAACUGUGAAUUGGCAGGAGAUUCAGCUGCCUGCGCCCUGGCCUCAGUUUACCUCCUGUUCCUAGGAGGGGUCUUCCUGGCGGAGGGGGACGUGGGAGGGGGCACCUGGGUGGAGCUCCCUGUGACUCAUGGCCCAGGAAUGUGGAAGCUGCCACUCUUCUGCUCCUGCCCCAGCCCCCAUCCCAGAAGUGCAAAGGCCAGGCAGCGCAUCGGCCUUGCUGGUGACCACAGUCCCCAUCAACGGCAGGCACACGGGCUGUGGAAUGGGACCCGGGGGACACCCGGAGGCCCACAACAAUAACAUGCAUUCAUGCAGAGGACAUACGUCAGGCUCCCUGCAGGCACACAGAGGGGCCGAAGCACCCCUGACUGGGGCUGUGGCAUCUCCAUGGCAACACUGGAGUGGCAGUCAUGGAGAGCACACCCCCCUGGGGCAGCUGCCAGAGGCUCAGGGAAGACACCUGUGUGUGUCCAGGCAGCCGCACACAGCAGUCCCACAUCCUGGCCCCCACACCCAAGCAGGAAGACACAGGUGCCCAUGGACCUCGUCCAGCCUUCGAUCACCAUCCCACCCUGGAGUGUCAGCGAUGGCCCGGUGCCCAGCUGUGCAGCCGCCUCAUCAUCCCAGAAGCCAGCACCUGGAUCCAGGCCUCCGUCCGGACUCCACACUUUGGUAGCCACACCUGUCCACACCGCCAGCUCCAACCCCCAUCAGUCUCAGGGCUCUCUGCCCGUCCGGCUAGCCCCAGGGGCUAACCUCGGACCAAAGGUUUGCUCACAUCCUCGCCACCCGGCAAAGGCGACCCUGUUUACGCCGACCGCGGCCUGCUGCCUUUUCAGAGGGGACUCCUGGCCACAGCAAAACUGCGCCUCAGCCAGGCAGCGAUGAGGACUUCCUGCCGCCAUAAGCCCCCCCGGGCCCCCAACUGUCCCGGCUCCU